AAGUGGAUAGUGAAACCUGGUGGCUCAACCAUUCAGACUAUUAUCCAAACUGCUAAGCUCGAGAAUGGUAGAGGUAGCUGGAAUUUCCUGUGUAAGAGUGAAAUCCGUAGAUAUAGGAAGGAACACCAAUGGCGUAGGCAGGCUACUGGACCAUUUCUGACACUGAGGCACGAAAGCGUGGGAGCGAACCGGAUUAGAUACCCGGGUAGUCCACGCCGUAAACUAUGGAUACUA
rnacentral:rRNA from 1 species